AAGUUCUCCUUGCAAAUCCUGAACCACCACCCCCACAAUGAUCCCGAACCAAAACUGGACUUCCGCCAUUUCCCCCCUCUCACUCACCGUGAACAGACCAGCACGGCAGCGCCCAAGUCCUCCCAUAGAAAUAGUUCGGUUCUUAGGUGUUCUAACCAACACCAAAGUCUCUUCACUUUACCAAGGGAUCAACAAGUGAGGAUUUGUGGGUCACUUUUAUUUUUAACGGACCGGUGCCAGAAACACUGCCUCAGCAUUUAUACGUAUGUGCAUUUCAAACGAGGGUGCGUACAAUGCUGGAUUUGUUUCACGGCUCCUGUUGGAAAAAAAGGACCUAUUCCUAAAGUCCGUCAUCCACUCACUGAAGAGGGCAAAUCCCAGUUGCCCACAUGCAAGGAGGCUGUCAAACAGAGAAAUCACUGCAGACUGUUGGUACACAGACAUCUGCUGCCCAGCUCAGGAGUGAAGGUAUGUAAGUUUGUAUGUACCAACAGUAAGAUAGGUAAUAGAAGAUUUUAAUUGGUAUAUACUGUUUAGAUUUUAUAUUUGAAUUGUAACAACUGUUUAUCUGUUGUUUUAGCACAGACAGGCCUGUCCUCUUGUUUGGUUUAAUUUUUUGUCUGGUAUUGUGUGUUCUUACAUUAGAGAAGGUUUUGACCUACAUAAUAAUUAACAUUUCACUAAUCUACAAUUCUGAUUGCACUACCUUUUGUUUUGAUGAGGUGAUGGUGAGGACAGCCACAGCUUCCAUCUGGUAGAGGACUGCUUCCGCUCAGUCUUCCAAAUAGUGAUGAGAACAAGGAUCACCACAUCUCCCUGUUUACCCUACUUUCAUGCAUUUCGUCUGCAAGGCCCUGCAAAAGCUUCUCCUUCGUCCUCAAACCCCCAGACUUCUUAAUUAACUCAGUAACCUAUACAUUGCACAUUGGAGUGUGAAGGUAACAGUUUGUUCUAGCUUUGGAGUAGUGGUGUAUUUUUUUGGUUUACAAUAAAGUUGGCUUUAACUAUUAUGUAUUUCA
rnacentral:lncRNA from 1 species